GUGGGUUUGUAAGUCCGAUGUGAAAGCCCUCGGCUCAACCGGGGAAUGCCAUUGGAUACUGCGUACCUGGAGUGCGGGAGGGGAGAGUGGAACUCUUGGUGGAGCGGUGAAAUGCGUAGAUAUCAAGAGGAACGCCGGUGGCGAAAGCGACUCUCUGGCCCGUGACUGACGCUGAGGCGCGAAAGCCAGUGUAGCGAACGGGAUUAGAUACCCCGGUAGUCCUGGCCCUAAACGAUGGGCACUAAGUAGAGGGG
rnacentral:rRNA from 2 species